rnacentral:rRNA from 1 species
AAUAGAUACCCAGGUAGUCCUGGCUGUAAACGAUGACCACUAGAUGCACGCGGGCUCGACCCUGGGUGUGUCGCAGUUAACGCUUUAAGUGGUCCGCCUGGGGAGUACGGUCGCAAGACUAAAACUCAAAGGAAUUGACGGGGGCCCGCACAAGCAGCGGAGCAUGUGGUUUAAUUCGAAGCAACGCGAAGAACCUUACCUAGACUUGACAUCUCCUGAAUUACCUGUAAUAAGGGAAGCCCUUCGGGGCAGGAAGACAGGUGGUGCAUGGUUGUCGUCAGCUCGUGUCGUGAGAUGUUGGGUUAAGUCCCGCAACGAGCGCAACCCUUAUCAUUAGUUGCUACCAUUAAGUUGAGCACUCUAGUGAGACUGCCCGGGUUAACCGGGAGGAAGGUGGGGAUGACGUCAAAUCAUCAUGCCCCUUAUGUCUAGGGCUACACACGUGCUACAAUGGGCGGUACAACGAGAUGCAAAACCGUGAGGUGGAGCCAAACUCAAAAACCGGUUCCCAGUUCGGAUUGAAGGCUGAAACUCGCCUUCA